rnacentral:rRNA from 1 species
GGGCUCCAGGGGAAGGUUCGUCCGCCCGGGGUUAGUCGGGACCUAAGCUGAGGCCGAAAGGCGUAGGUGAUGGACAACAGGUUGAUAUUCCUGUACUACCGAUAACCGUUUGAGAGAUGGGAUGACACAGUAGGAUAAGCUAAGCACACUGUUGGUUAUGUGUGCCCAAGCAUUGAGGCAGUCAAAGUAGGCAAAUCCGCUUUGAUAAUGCUGGGAUGUGAUGGGGAGCGAAAUUUAGUAGCGAAGUAGCUGAUUUCACACUGUCAAGAAAAGUCUCUAUCGAGGUUAAAGGUACCCGUACCGCAAACCGACACAGGUGGGUGAGGAGAGUAUCCUAAGGCCAGCGAGAGAACUGUUGUUAAGGAACUCGGCAAAAUGACCCCGUAACUUAGGGAUAAGGGGUGCCACCAUCAGGUGGCCGCAGAGAAUAGGCCCAAGCGACUGUUUACCAAAAACAUAGGUUUCUGCUAAGUCGCAAGACGAUGUAUAGGAGCUGACGCCUGCCCGGUGCUGGAAGGUUAAGGGGAUCUGUUAGAGCAAUCGAAGCAGUGAACUUAAGCCCCAGUAAACGGCGGCCGUAACUAUAACGGUCCUAAGGUAGCGAAAUUCCUUGUCGGGUAAGUUCCGACCCGC